rnacentral:rRNA from 1 species
GAUGAACGCUGGCGGCGUGCCUAAUACAUGCAAGUCGAGCGAACGGACGAGAAGCUUGCUUCUCUGAUGUUAGCGGCGGACGGGUGAGUAACACGUGGAUAACCUACCUAUAAGACUGGGAUAACUUCGGGAAACCGGAGCUAAUACCGGAUAAUAUUUUGAACCGCAUGGUUCAAAAGUGAAAGACGGUCUUGCUGUCACUUAUAGAUGGAUCCGCGCUGCAUUAGCUAGUUGGUAAGGUAACGGCUUACCAAGGCAACGAUGCAUAGCCGACCUGAGAGGGUGAUCGGCCACACUGGAACUGAGACACGGUCCAGACUCCUACGGGAGGCAGCAGUAGGGAAUCUUCCGCAAUGGGCGAAAGCCUGACGGAGCAACGCCGCGUGAGUGAUAAAGGUCUUCGGAUCGUAAAACUCUGUUAUUGGGGAAGAACAUAUGUGUAAGUAACUGUGCACAUCUUGACGGUACCUAAUCAGAAAGCCACGGCUAACUACGUG